rnacentral:rRNA from 1 species
AGCGAACGCUGGCGGCAGGCCUAACACAUGCAAGUCGAACGAACUCUUCGGAGUUAGUGGCGGACGGGUGAGUCACACGUGGGAACGUUCCUUUUGGUUCGGAAUAACUCAGGGAAACUUGUGCUAAUACCGAAUGUGCCCUUCGGGGGAAAGAUUUAUCGCCAUUAGUGCGGCCCUCGUCUGAUUAGCUAGUUGGUGAGGUAACGGCUCACCAAGGCGACGAUCAGUAGCUGGUCUGAGAGGAUGACCAGCCACACUGGGACUGAGACACGGCCCAGACUCCUACGGGAGGCAGCAGUGGGGAAUCUUGCGCAAUGGGCGAAAGCCUGACGCAGCCAUGCCGCGUGAAUGAUGAAGGUCUUAGGAUUGUAAAAUUCUUUCAACGGGGACGAUAAUGACGGUACCCGGAGAAGAAGCCCCGGCUAACUUCGUG